rnacentral:rRNA from 1 species
AUUGAACGCUGGCGGCAGGCCUAACACAUGCAAGUCGAGCGGACGAAGGGAGCUCGCUCCUGGCUUCCGCUGCGGACGGGCGAGUAAUGCCUAGGAAUAUGCCCGGCAGUGGGGGAUAACGUACGGUCACGGGAGCUAAUCUCGUAUACGUCAAGAGGGUGAAAGUGGGGGAUCUUUGGACCACACGCUAUCUGCUGACACUAGGUCGGAUUAGCUAGUUGGUGGGGUAAAGGCCUACCAAGGCGACGAUCCGUAACCGGUCUGAGAGGAUGAUCAGUCACACUGGAACUGAGACACGGUCCAGACUCCUACGGGAGGCAGCAGUGGGGAAUAUUGGACAAUGGGCGAAAGCCUGAUCCAGCCAUGCCGCGUGAGUGAAGAAGGUCUUCGGAUUGUAAAGCUCUUUUAGUUGGGAAGAAGAGCAGUAAGUUAAUACCUGGCUGUUUUGACGGUACCAACAGAAUAAGCACCGGCUAACUACGUG